GCGGGGAUAGCUCAGUUGGGAGAGCGUCAGACUGAAGUAACACUUCAUUCUUGGAAUAUCUGAAGGUCGUGCGUUCGAUCCGCACUCACCGCA